CAGUAGCCGCGGGAAUACGAAGGGUGCAAGCGUUACUCGGAACUACUGGGCGUAAAGCGUGCGUAGGUGGUGGUUUAAGUCCGUUGUGAAAGCCCUGGGCUCAACCUGGGAAUUGCAGUGGAUACUGGGUCACUAGAGUGUGGUAGAGGAUAGCGGAAUUUCCGGUGUAGCAGUGAAAUGCGUAGAGAUCGGAAGGAACAUCUGUGGCGGAGGCGACCAUCUGGGCCAACACUGACACCGAGGCACGAAAGCGUGGGGAGCAAACAGGAUUAGAUACCCCAGUAGUCCCUGUCUCUUAUAC
rnacentral:rRNA from 1 species